rnacentral:rRNA from 1 species
GACGAACGCUGGCGGCGUGCUUAACACAUGCAAGUCGAACGGAAAGGCCCUGCUUUUGUGGGGUGCUCGAGUGGCGAACGGGUGAGUAACACGUGAGUAACCUGCCCUUGACUUUGGGAUAACUUCAGGAAACUGGGGCUAAUACAGGAUAGGAGCUCCUGCUGCAUGGUGGGGGUUGGAAAGUUUCGGCGGUUGGGGAUGGACUCGCGGCUUAUCAGCUUGUUGGUGGGGUAGUGGCUGACCAAGGCUUUGACGGGUAGCCGGCCUGAGAGGGUGACCGGCCACAUUGGGACUGAGAUACGGCCCAGACUCCUACGGGAGGCAGCAGUGGGGAAUAUUGCACAAUGGGCGGAAGCCUGAUGCAGCAACGCCGCGUGCGGGAUGACGGCCUUCGGGUUGUAAACCGCUUUCGCCUGUGACGAAGCGUGAGUGACGGUAAUGGGUAAAGAAGCACCGGCUAACUACGUG